GGACAAUACUUGGUACCUGUUGCUAGCGGGAGGUUGCGGGUAUCUCGGGUGCAAUUAGUCGAGGUGAGCAUAUGUUGGUUCGGACACCACGGUCAUAAAAAAAUAAGCUGAUUUUUAAUGGGAUGUUAAAGGAAGUCUUUGUUGCGUUUUAGUGGAUCUGUCUGGCUUGGCUAAAUGCCUCAGUUUUGGUGAACCAUAGAAGACCAUGUUACAUGAACUUGUAUUGGAUACGUUUCAUACUUUUCUAUGAGCAAUAUUUGUGUAUUAUGAAGAAUCCACACAAAUACCAGCUCCAUGUAGGCGGUAACAUAGCUGAAAAUGGGCAGGUCGAUUGAAAGCAAGAUAUGCUUGUGAUAACAUGCCAACUAACUAAUCAUAUGAAACCAAGAAGUCCCUCUGUUCCAAUUUUUGCUAUGUAGUUUGACUCAACACGGAGUUUAAGAAAAAAAUUAAAUACUUUUGAAACUUGUGGUCUUAAGCAUGCUAUAACAUUUGUGUUGCUAUAAAAGCUUUUCGUUAAGAGUAAAACGAGAAGCAAUUGUUUCGAAAUAUAGAAAUGUGUUUUGGUUUUGGAAUGAACUAGUAAGGUAAUAGUGUUACGAAAAUCUGAACCCUAUAUCACACUUUUGUUGAAUGCUUCUGAUUUGGGAGCAUGUUGAGGUCAUGUGAUUACAGAAGCUGUGCUACUCUGGUUGGAUGUCUAGGUAUUCUUUAAUGCCCGUUGUCUGCAUAUUUGAACUGGAAAAUGGUUGUUAGCUAUAGCAUCAUAUGCUUUAACAGUUACAGAUAUAGGAACACUUUCUCUAUUGA
rnacentral:lncRNA from 1 species